UCCUGGAAUGGUGGGGGGGGGGGUGAGGAUGCGACGAUGUGAUUUUAAGAAGCGGAGAAAAUCAAUGGACGAGGCCGUGGAGACGUCACGACACGCGCCGCUCGCGGAGGCUCUCAUCAUCUGGGACGCCAGCGGAGGGACCACCGGAUCCUCAACGACAAAAUGCAUCAUAGCAGAAGUUGGAUUGAUGCCUCAACCUCAUAUAGGGUGUUUUGGACACUUUUUCUGGACUUUGAAAGCGAUUAAAAGUGGGGAAAAACACCAAGACAUGGACCAACCGACCUCGUUCUGAUGGACAGGAGACUGGAUGCAUGCUGUGAAAUGCUUUUAUGAUUAUGUUACAUAUCAUUA